UACGUAGGGUCCGAGCGUUGUCCGGAAUUACUGGGCGUAAAGCGCGCGCAGGCGGCCCGCGAGGUGUCACGUGAAAGCCCCGGGCUCAACCCGGGAGGGUCGUGGCAAACCGGCGGGCUUGAGGCCGGUAGAGGUGGGUGGAACUCCUGGUGGAGUGGUGAAAUGCGUAGAGAUGUGGAGGAAUACCAAUGGCGAAGGCAGCCCCCUGGGAUAAUAUUGACGCUCAUGCACGAAAGCGUGGGGAGCAAACAGG
rnacentral:rRNA from 1 species